rnacentral:rRNA from 1 species
UACGUAGGGUGCAAGCGUUAAUCGGAAUUACUGGGCGUAAAGCGUGCGCAGGCGGUUGUGCAAGACAGGUGUGAAAUCCCCGGGCUCAACCUGGGAACUGCAUUUGUGACUGCAUCGCUGGAGUGCGGCAGAGGGGGAUGGAAUUCCGCGUGUAGCAGUGAAAUGCGUAGAUAUGCGGAGGAACACCGAUGGCGAAGGCAAUCCCCUGGGCCUGCACUGACGCUCAUGCACGAAAGCGUGGGGAGCAAACAGG